UACGUAGGGGGCAAGCGUUGUCCGGAAUUAUUGGGCGUAAAGCGCGCGCAGGCGGUUCAUUAAGUUGGGUGUUUAAUCCCGGGGCUCAACCCCGGUUCGCAUCCGAAACUGGUGAACUUGAGUGUAAGAGAGGAAAGUGGAAUUCCACGUGUAGCGGUGAAAUGCGUAGAGAUGUGGAGGAACACCAGUGGCGAAGGCGACUUUCUGGCUUAUAACUGACGCUGAGGCGCGAAAAGCGUGGGGAGCAAACAGG
rnacentral:rRNA from 1 species